ACGAACGUUAGCGGCGCGCUUAACACAUGCAAGUCGAGCGAGAAAGGGCAACCCUAGUACAGCGGCGCACGGGUGAGUAACACGUAGGUAACGUACCCCUGGGCGGGGGAUAACUCUCCGAAAGGAGAGCUAAUACCGCAUAGGACCACGAGCUCGAAAGGGUUUGGGUGAAAGCCGGCCUCUAUACAUACGCUGGCACCUGGGGAUCGGUCUGCGGCCCAUCAGCUAGUUGGUAGGGAAUGGCCUACCAAGGCGAAGACGGGUAGCUGGUCUGAGAGGAUGAUCAGCCACACUGGAACUGAGACACGGUCCAGACUCCUACGGGAGGCAGCAGUGGGGAAUCUUGCGCAAUGGGCGAAAGCCUGACGCAGCGACGCCGCGUGAGUGAUGAAGGCCUU
rnacentral:rRNA from 1 species